rnacentral:lncRNA from 1 species
GGAGGAGGACAGCCGCGAAGGGCCCCCCGCCGCCCCAGCUGCCGCCGCCCCGGGCUACGGCCAGAGCUGCUGCCUCAUCGAGGACGGCGAGCGCUGCGUCCGGCCCGCGGGCAACGCCUCCUUCAGCAAGAGGGUCCAGAAGAGCAUCUCGCAGAAGAAACUCAAGCUGGACAUCGACAAGAGCGUAAGGCACCUAUAUAUCUGUGAUUUUCACAAAAAUUUCAUCCAGAGUGUCCGAAAUAAAAGGAAGAGGAAGACAAGUGACGAUGGCGGAGAUUCUCCCGAGCACGACACUGACAUUCCUGAGGUAAAGGUCAAAGAAACCAGUUGCGGAAGCUGGAAGAAUGGAUUCUAAUCUGAUUCUCACCUCUGGCCUGGUCUGCUUUUUGUGUUAAGAAGUAAUUUUAGUC